rnacentral:rRNA from 1 species
GAUGAACGCUGGCGGCGUGCCUAAUACAUGCAAGUCGAGCGAACAGAUGAGGAGCUUGCUCCUCUGACGUUAGCGGCGGACGGGUGAGUAACACGUGGAUAACCUACCUAUAAGACUGGGAUAACUUCGGGAAACCGGAGCUAAUACCGGAUAAUAUAUUGAACCGCAUGGUUCAAUAGUGAAAGACGGUUUUGCUGUCACUUAUAGAUGGAUCCGCGCCGCAUUAGCUAGCUGGUAAGGUAACGGCUUACCAAGGCAACGAUGCGUAGCCGACCUGAGAGGGUGAUCGGCCACACUGGAACUGAGACACGGUCCAGACUCCUACGGGAGGCGGCAGUAGGGAAUCUUCCGCAAUGGGCGAAAGCCUGACGGAGCAACGCCGCGUGAGUGAUGAAGGUCUUCGGAUCGUAAAACUCUGUUAUUAGGGAAGAACAAAUGUGUAAGUAACUAUGCACGUCUUGACGGUACCUAAUCAGAAAGCCACGGCUAACUACGUG